GAUGAACGCUAGCGGCAGGCUUAACACAUGCAAGUCGAGGGGCAGCACGUCUUCGGAUGGUGGCGACCGGCGCACGGGUGCGUAACGCGUAUACAAUCUACCUUUUACAGGGGCAUAGCCCGGGGAAACCCGGAUUAAUAUCCCAUGGUAUCAAGACAUGGCAUCAUGUUUUGAUUAAAGCUUCGGCGGUAAAAGAUGAGUAUGCGUCCUAUUAGUUAGUUGGUAAGGUAACGGCUUACCAAGGCAGCGAUAGGUAGGGGUCCUGAGAGGGAGAUCCCCCACACUGGUACUGAGACACGGACCAGACUCCUACGGGAGGCAGCAGUGAGGAAUAUUGGACAAUGGGCGAGAGCCUGAUCCAGCCAUGCCGCGUGCAGGAAGACGGCCCUAUGGGUUGUAAACUGCUUUUACAGAGGAAGAAACACCCCCUCGUGAGGGGGCUUGACGGUACUCUGCGAAUAAGGAUCGGCUAACUCCG
rnacentral:rRNA from 1 species